rnacentral:rRNA from 1 species
UAGGGAAUCUUCGGCAAUGGGGGCAACCCUGACCGAGCAACGCCGCGUGAGUGAAGAAGGUUUUCGGAUCGUAAAGCUCUGUUGUAAGUCAAGAACGGGUGUGAGAGUGGAAAGUUCACACUGUGACGGUAGCUUACCAGAAAGGGACGGCUAACUACGUGCCAGCAGCCGCGGUAAUACGUAGGUCCCGAGCGUUGUCCGGAUUUAUUGGGCGUAAAGCGAGCGCAGGCGGUUUGAUAAGUCUGAAGUUAAAGGCUGUGGCUCAACCAUAGUUCGCUUUGGAAACUGUCAAACUUGAGUGCAGAAGGGGAGAGUGGAAUUCCAUGUGUAGCGGUGAGAUGCGUAGAUAUAUGGAGGAACACCGGUGGCGAAAGCGGCUCUCUGGUCUGUAACUGACGCUGAGGCUCGAAAGCGUGGGGAGCGAACAGGAUUAGAUACCCUGGUAGUCCACGCCGUAAACGAUGAGUGCUAGGUGUUGGAUCCUUUCCGGGAUUCAGUGCCGCAGCUAACGCAUUAAGCACUCCGCCUGGGGAGUACGACCGCAAGGUUGAAAC